rnacentral:rRNA from 1 species
UGGGGAAUAUUGCACAAUGGGCGCAAGCCUGAUGCAGCCAUGCCGCGUGUAUGAAGAAGGCCUUCGGGUUGUAAAGUACUUUCAGCGGGGAGGAAGGGUUGAGUGUUAAUAUCACUCAGCAUUGACGUUACCCGCAGAAGAAGCACCGGCUAACUCCGUGCCAGCAGCCGCGGUAAUACGGAGGGUGCAAGCGUUAAUCGGAAUUACUGGGCGUAAAGCGCACGCAGGCGGUCUGUCAAGUCAGAUGUGAAAUCCCCGGGCUUAACCUGGGAACUGCAUUUGAAACUGGCAGGCUUGAGUCUCGUAGAGGGGGGUAGAAUUCCAGGUGUAGCGGUGAAAUGCGUUAGAGAUCUGGAGGAAUACCGGUGGCGAAGGCGGCCCCCUGGACGAAGACUGACGCUCAGGUGCGAAAGCGUGGGAGCAAACA